UUCCUACGGGACGCAGCAGUGGGGAAUAUUGGGCAAUGGGCGCAAGCCUGACCCAGCAACGCCGCGUGAAGGAAGAAGACUUUCGGGUUGUAAACUUCUUUUCUGAGGGACGAAGAAAGUGACGGUACCUCAGGAAUAAGCCACGGCUAACUACGUGCCAGCAGCCGCGGUAAUACGUAGGUGGCAAGCGUUAUCCGGAUUUAUUGGGUGUAAAGGGUGCGUAGACGGGAAGGCAAGUUAGUUGUGAAAUCCCUCGGCCUAACUGAGGAACUGCAACUAAAACUAUCUUUCUUGAGUGCUGGAGG
rnacentral:rRNA from 1 species